CUGUUUCCUCACCAUGUGUGCUCCCCAAAUCUGUUUUGGAUUUCCCCUCAAACCUCCACAGCAGAUUUGGGGAGGAUACAGGGGGAAAGGAGAAA